rnacentral:rRNA from 1 species
AUUGAACGCUGGCGGCAGGCUUAACACAUGCAAGUCGAGCGGGGGAAGGUAGCUUGCUACUGGACCUAGCGGCGGACGGGUGAGUAAUGCUUAGGAAUCUGCCUAUUAGUGGGGGACAACAUCUCGAAAGGGAUGCUAAUACCGCAUACGUCCUACGGGAGAAUGCAGGGGAUCUUCGGACCUUGCGCUAACAGAUGAGCCUAAGUCGGCUUAGCUAGUUGGUGGGGUAAAGGACUACCAAGGCGACGAUCUGUAGCGGGUGUGAGAGGAUGAUCCGCCAAACUGGGAAUGAGACAAGGCCCAGACUCCUACGGGAGGCAGCAGUGGGGAAUAUUGGACAAUGGGGGGAACCCUGAUCCAGCCAUGCCGCGUGUGUGAAGAAGGCCUUAUGGUUGUAAAGCACUUUAAGCGAGGAGGAGGCUACUCUAGUUAAUACCUAGGGAUAGUGGACGUUACUCGCAGAAUAAGCACCGGCUAACUCUGUGCCAGCCGCCGCCGUAA